UUUAAUUGCCAGCAUAUCGCUCCGCCUCCUCCUCGUGCAUUACUCCCUCCCUCCCUUGCGUUUAAUCCAUUGGCUGCCUCCUCCUCCCGCGGAUCGCCCUCCCAUCCGAGGUCUCUCCGCGUUCCCUGCCCGCUCCCUGCGUGCGGCGUCUUCUCUAUCUCGCACUAUAAAUCUCCAGCCGCGUUCGCGCUCGCGCCCCACGCGUUGCCUCCGUUGACCACCUCCUCAUUUCUCCUUGAGGGAGGCAACACACCAACAAUACAUCUAGUGGCCGACCACGUCGUUCCGAUGCGGUGUCAGGCUUGUUGAUGCGAGAAGCAACAGCGGAUGUCUUGACCCUGUGAUGCAGAUGUGAGAUAUGGAUGGAGCUAUGAGCCUGUGAUGCAGAUGUGAGGUAUGGAUGGAGCUAUGUUGUUGUCAUGGAUGAUGGGCCAACACAUGUGUUUGUUUCUGAAGAUUCACAUUGAGCCAAUGCGAGCAAAGCCUUCCAAAUCGACAGACGAAGAUUGCUUAACAUGUGUGGAUCAUGUUUUUUUGUCUUACUGCUACAGAUUCCUAUGGUCGUCAGGUUAAAUGUCAUGGAAUGGAUGGAUGAUGGUGCACGAUCAAUGGAAACAGACAUCGGAGACGCCCAGAUGUGGGAGGAGGUGGCUCUAUUUGUUGAAGGUAGGGGGAGCUCGCUCGACGCACAACAAUCAACAGCCAAGAUGAACCUUGGUGCUACCGGAUCCAGAUGGACCAACACAAUUGUCUGCGCGGAAUAUACAUGCAGAAAUGCAAGAUAGCAGAUGUCCAUUUCCGUGUUCAUUUUUACCUUUUUUUCUGCUGGUUGGGUGUCUCUGGAGUUUGUACAAUUUGGAUGGAAUGGUGAUAUGUCUCAGGGACAGAGUGUUGUAAAUUUUGGAUUUGGAUUGCAUUUUUUGUUAAUGUAACAAGUAGCAAACCAAUUGGAUUGGUUGAAUGAAUGUGUGUUGUUUUGUUGGGUCAAACGGUC